rnacentral:misc_RNA from 1 species
GAAAAAGAUGGUAGUUACAAUUUGUAAAAUCCUUGUUUUGUUGAGGAUGGUACAGGUUUUCUCUGUAAUUCAGGGCUUCAUUUUCUGUCAAGGCGCGGCUGACUUCGCAUCGGUAAAUUAGGAUUUUAAGAAGGGAGAUUUACAAUUUCGUCCCUAUACUUUGCCAUUAUUUAUAAGUCGGUCCUUGCAUUUUCAAAAACUCAUUAAAACGUCUCUAUACAUUGCCUUUAUUAACUAAAUGGUCUUUCUGUCUAUUUUCCAUCUUCCUCUCUGUCUAAAAGGAGAGAAUUUUUAAAAUCCCAUUUUGUCAUCAAUAACGCGACAUGACAAUUAUGCCCUUAUAGACAAAUGAAUUAAAAAAAAUCCUUUUCCCCAAUUUUCAAUUCCCUAACCCUUUCCCAUUGAAAUGAAAAGGCAGAGGCUAUAAGAUUGGUAAAAAAUUAAAUAUAAUGACUUAAUAAUUAUGAAAAUGAAAAUAUAGGGACGAAAGAGUUAUUUUCUAGAAAUAGGUAUAAAAAAAAUUCUCACAGAAACUAUGAUGCUUGCCAGAAAACCAAUUGAAAUGCCCGGCCACACACUACACCCUGUCAAUACUAAAUUCAAAAUCACUUCCUUUUGUGCAAAAUUAUCCUUGAGUGCACUACGACAGUUGGGUGAUGAAAAAUUUUUGGAUAAAGAAUGAAGUUUUUUAUUGUAAAAAAGACAAAUUCUCCUCGUGGGACAAAGAACUUGUGAGUUAGAACAGACAGUGAAGAAGGGUUAGGGAUUCGAAAAUUGG